rnacentral:lncRNA from 1 species
CAGAUCAGAUCAAUAUUAUGAAUGUACAUGUAUCUUCAGAUCAAGAGCAUAAUAGAUUUAGAAUUUUUCAUAUUGUACCAAGAGUAGAAUUUUAAAUAUCAGUCAAAGACUACACAUGUUACAAAUAUGAACGUAUAUUUGAUAUACGUUUAUCAUAAUAAAAUAUGUGUCAUUGUUAUACAACCAGUGAAAAAUAUAUAUUAUGUAUAUCAUAACAAAUGCUUUAUGAAUGCAAAAAUGGUUUGACCAUAGUAUUUACAUGAAAAUCUAACUAAGUGACUACAUUUACAACAAAGACAGCUCAUUCAUCAUGUUCAUAAUGAACCUAUACACAUACAUGUAUGAACAACAUAUUAUUAUACCAUCAUUGAAAAAUAAAUAUCUCCAAUAGAUGUUAUUUCAAAUUGUGUGUAUGACAUGUUAAAAAAAAGUAGAAUGUGGCCCCUCUUGCAUAGAACAUUAAAAAGGGAGAUAACUCAAGCAGUCAUAGUGAAGCAACCCAAAUUUGCACUAGACCUGUGUUUUGUCAUAAUAAUUAGCAUUGCGUAUAAGUUUGAUAACAUUUGGUUGAGGCAAACUAAGUACAGAAUUCUGCAAUUAAUUCAGCAUGUUCAGUAACUUUCAAAGUGAUGCCACCUAUACAUAUACAUAAACUUAAUCUGUGUUCUAUGGUAAUCAUGGUAAUGAACUUUGUGUAUAGGUUUUAUAACAUUGGUCAAGGAAAACUUUAGUUUGAAAACAGAAAUCAAUUUUGGGAGGAACUAAUGGACAAUCAUACAGAUGGACAAGGGUAAACCUUAAUGCUCCCUCAGCUAUUGCAGGGACAUAACAACACCUACUAAUACGAAAUUUCAAAGAGAAGCAAGUUAUGAAUUAUGAAAUAAGAAAGACAAAAUUCCAAAAUAAUUUAUACUGACCAUUCUGACAAUGACUGACAUUUAACAGUAUUUUGUUUUGAAAAAUAAACUCAUGGAUCAAACAUUUAUUUAAUUAAUAAAAUUUUUCCAUUUUUGAAUUUGAAAGGCAGAAAAUGGUAUACUAUCAAACAUGUCCACUAUACAUGUACAACAAAAUUGCAUGCUUAAAAAGAAGCAAUUGAAAAAAAUUCAUAACAACUCGACAUGUAUAAAUAAAUAAGCUCUCUGAAAAUUUGUUUGGCAUGUUAACUCAAUUUGAAUACUAAAAUUUGAGAUUUUACUUAUGUUGUAAAACAUGAGCAUGAUGUAUGCAUAUGAUGUAGUACACUUUCUUCAUUCUUAUUUCUUAUUUUAAUAUUAUAUUCAGCGCACAUUUGAUAAAAUAAUUGAUUCGUAGACGAUUUGAAUUUCUUGCAAUAAUUUUCUUCUGAUCAUCAUGAUCAUAUCUAAAAAAGAUCACCAUAUAUCAUGAUCAAAAUGAAUGAAUUCGAAGUUUCUUAAAAAUUAGGAAAAUAAAUUACAAAAACCAAUUUAUCAUUUUAAUCCAAUUGGUGCUGCCUUAUACAUGUUAUAUUUUAACAUAUUACUGUUCCUACUUACAAUAAAAUAAUAAUUCUAAACUCAAAAAGAAAAUUUGAUACAAAAAAAAUAAUGCACUAGUAUCCAUGGCAUGUAUCUGAAAGCUUUAAAAAAAAGUUAUGAACACUUGUACUUUCACACACACACAUACUUGUACAUAUGAUUACCCAAAAACCAUGAAAACUGUUUUUAAAACAGAAUAAUUAAAAUAUGACAUUUAUGAGGUAGACUUAAAAAAUCAAAUUAACAAACUGUACAUGCUGUAUCAAAUGUUGAUUGUUUUCACCAUGAAGAUGGUGAGAACAUAUUUAACUCUUUCCUUUUGACUUUUUUUGUUUUAUGUAUUGU